UGCCCAGCAACUCCUAUCCCUACCUCCUCGUGGUACUGGCCGGGGUACAAGCAACCUCACCGGGUAACCAACCGGUGGGAGCUUUGGUCGUAUGCUGACAGGGAAGG
rnacentral:ribozyme from 1 species